UACGAAGGGGGCUAGCGUUGCUCGGAAUCACUGGGCGUAAAGCGCACGUAGGCGGAUAUGUCAGUCAGGGGUGAAAUCCCGGGGCUCAACCUCGGAACUGCCUUUGAUACAGCAUAUCUUGAGUCCGAUAGAGGUGGGUGGAAUUCCUAGUGUAGAGGUGAAAUUCGUAGAUAUUAGGAAGAACACCGGUGGCGAAGGCGGCCCACUGGAUCGGUACUGACGCUGAGGUGCGAAAGCGUGGGGAGCAAACAGG
rnacentral:rRNA from 1 species